CUGCGUGGGUGAAGCCUCCAAGGACACUUCUCUGUUUCAGGGAUGGAAGCCGGGACAGUCUCUGCGGGGCCUCAGGGAUGGAAGCCGGGUCAGUCUUUGUGGGGCCCCUGGGCUACAUGCACACACCCGGGCCGACAGUUCCUGUUUUUCCUUUUCUUUUUAACUGGGAACUAAGGAAGGUCUUUGUGUGCCCGCUGACAAGGAUGAAAUUUUCCAGCUGACCACAGUAGAAAGUUCAUCAUACUGACUUAUUUGUUGCUGUGAAUGCAAGAUAAUUGCCCCUGUACCUUGUCCCUAAGACCUCGUUGAAGGACAAGACUGUAUUGGAGGCUGGCACACACUGGAGAGGCCCGUCCACACCGCAGGUGACGCGGGGGUAUUGGAGGCUGGCACACACUGGAGAGGCCCGUCCACACCGCAGGUGACGCGGGGGUAUUGGAGGCUGGCAGACACUGGAGAGGCCCAUCCACACCGCAGGUGACACAGGGGUAUUGGAGGCUGGCACACACUGGAGAGGCCCAUCCAUACUGCAGGUGACGCGGGGGUAUUGGAGGCUGGUACACACUGGAGAGGCCCGUCCACACCGCAGGAGACAUGGGGGUAUUGGAGGCUGGCACACACUGGAGAGGCCCGUCCACACCGCAGGUGACGCGGGGGUAUUGGAGGCUGGCACACACUGGAGAGGCCCGUCCACACCGCAGGUGACGCGGGGGUAUUGGAGGCUGGUACACACUGGAGAGGCCCGUCCACACCGCAGGAGACAUGGGGGUAUUGGAGGCUGGCACACACUGGAGAGGCCCGUCCACACCGCAGGUGACACGGGGGUAUUGGAGGCUGGAACACACUGGAGAGGCCCAUCCACACCGCAGGUGACGCGGGGGUAUUGGAGGCUGGUACACACUGGAGAGGCCCGUCCACACCGCAGGAGACAUGGGGGUAUUGGAGGCUGGUACACACUGGAGAGGCCCGUCCACACCGCAGGUGACGCGGGGGUAUUGGAGGCUGGCACACACUGGAGAGGCCCGUCCACACCGCAGGUGACGCGGGGGUAUUGGAGGCUGGCACACACUGGAGAGGCCCGUCCACACCGCAGGUGACGCGGGGGUAUUGGAGGCUGGCAGACACUGGAGAGGCCCAUCCACACCGCAGGUGACACAGGGGUAUUGGAGGCUGGCACACACUGGAGAGGCCCAUCCAUACUGCAGGUGACGCGGGGGUAUUGGAGGCUGGCACACACUGGAGAGGCCCGUCCACACCGCAGGUGACGCGGGGGUAUUGGAGGCUGGCACACACUGGAGAGGCCCGUCCACACCGCAGGUGACGCGGGGGUAUUGGAGGCUGGCACACACUGGAGAGGCCCGUCCACACCGCAGGUGACGCGGGGGUAUUGGAGGCUGGCACACACUGGAGAGGCCCGUCCACACCGCAGGUGACGCGGGGGUAUUGGAGGCUGGCACACACUGGAGAGGCCCGUCCACACCGCAGGUGACGCGGGGGUAUUGGAGGCUGGCACACACUGGAGAGGCCCGUCCACACCGCAGGAGACCCGGCGGCGCGAUCCUUCUGCAGCUGGGCAGGGGAGGGUUUCGCUUCCUCAGGGGCCUCUUCAGGGUCAUCCCUGGCACAGAGAAUCGAACCAAAGUCCCUUCUAAUCUCCCGUCAGUGGGAAUCCUUACAAACACCUGGUGAUUACACGGCUUCCAGAGAUUGAGUAAAUAUUUACAUUCCACGCUGGCUUGUUGAUAAAUAUCCCUAACAGGAGUUACUGGACUUCAAGGGAAUGAAUUCUUAGUGGAUAUCUGUAACUAUUUUAAAACCGAGAUCUCAUUUCCAAAGGAAAAAGCACAGGCCCUGCGAGUCCGCUCCGCGUUGGGUCCCCCCGGCACCGCGUGCUGCCUCCAUGUGGGUCCCCCCGGCACCCCGU
rnacentral:lncRNA from 1 species